rnacentral:rRNA from 1 species
CCUACGGGUGGCAGCAGUGAGGAAUAUUGGUCAAUGGACGAGAGUCUGAACCAGCCAAGUCGCGUGAAGGAUGACUGCCCUAUGGGUUGUAAACUUCUUUUAUAUGGGAAUAAAAUGUUCCACGUGUGGGCUUUUGUAUGUACCAUAUGAAUAAGGAUCGGCUAACUCCGUGCCAGCAGCCGCGGUAAUACGGAGGAUCCGAGCGUUAUCCGGAUUUAUUGGGUUUAAAGGGAGCGUAGGGGGAUUGUUAAGUCAGUUGUGAAAGUUUGGGGCUCAACCGUAAAAUUGCAGUUGAAACUGGCAGUCUUGAGUACAGUAGAGGUAGGCGGAAUUCGUGGUGUAGCGGUGAAAUGCUUAGAUAUCACGAAGAACUACGAUUGCGAAGGCAGCUCACUGGACUGCAACUGACACUGAGGCUCGAAAGUGUGGGUAUCAAACAGGAUUAGAUACCCCGGUAGUC